GACGAACGCUGGCGGCGUGCUUAACACAUGCAAGUCGAACGGAAAGGCCCUGCUUUUGUGGGGUGCUCGAGUGGCGAACGGGUGAGUAACACGUGAGUAACCUGCCCUUGACUUUGGGAUAACUUCAGGAAACUGGGGCUAAUACCGGAUAGGAGCUCCUGCUGCAUGGUGGGGGUUGGAAAGUUUCGGCGGUUGGGGAUGGACUCGCGGCUUAUCAGCUUGUUGGUGGGGUAGUGGCUUACCAAGGCUUUGACGGGUAGCCGGCCUGAGAGGGUGACCGGCCACAUUGGGACUGAGGUACGGCCCAGACUGCUACGGGGGGCAGCAGUGGGGAAUAUUGCACAAUGGGCGGAAGCCUGAUGCAGCCACGCCGCGUGCGGGAAGACGGCCUUCGGGUUGUAAACCGCUUUCGCCUGUGACGAAGCGUGAGUGACGGUAAUGGGUAAAGAAGCACCGGCUAACUACGUG
rnacentral:rRNA from 1 species